rfam:Bombyx mori DNA, contig: Bm_scaf9_contig7596, strain: p50T/Dazao, build 2, whole genome shotgun sequence.
UUAAUGCAAAUUUGUAUGGAAUUGGAACGUUUGCCUACGUCUGCCGCUAGGGGCGCUGUUCCAAUUGCAUACAGAUUUGAGUUA